rfam:Ornithorhynchus anatinus chromosome 1, whole genome shotgun sequence.
CCCCUCUUAUGACUGCACUUGCAGAGUUUCCAGUACUCUGACAAUCUUAGCUAUGGGAGGGAGAGUCAAGCGGAGGCAUACCUAUUCCAUUCUUAGCUUGGGCAGUAGCUAGUGAGUAGAAGGCAAUCCGCUACAAGU